rnacentral:rRNA from 1 species
UACGGAGGGUGCGAGCGUUGUCCGGAAUCACUGGGCGUAAAGGGUGCGCAGGCGGUUGUGUGUGUCAGGUGUGAAAGCCCGGGGCUCAACCCCGGAACUGCCUUUGAAACUAGAUUGCUAGAAUCCUGGAGAGGUGAGUGGAAUUCCGAGUGUAGAGGUGAAAUUCGUAGAUAUUCGGAAGAACACCAGUGGCGAAGGCGGCUCACUGGCCCGGUACUGACGCUGAGGUGCGAAAGCGUGGGGAGCAAACAGG